rnacentral:piRNA from 1 species
UGAACUGUAGUUCUUUAUUUUCUGCCAUUA